rnacentral:rRNA from 1 species
GAUGAACGCUAGCUACAGGCUUAACACAUGCAAGUCGAGGGGUAGCAGGGUAGCAAUACCGCUGACGACCGGCGCACGGGUGAGUAACACGUAUCCAACCUUCCCAUAACUCAGGGAUAGCCUUUCGAAAGAAAGAUUAAUACCUGAUAGUACUUUUUUAAGGCAUCUUGAGAAAGUUAAAGAUUUAUUGGUUAUGGAUGGGGAUGCGUUCCAUUAGAUAGUUGGUGAGGUAACGGCUCACCAAGUCUUCGAUGGAUAGGGGUUCUGAGAGGAAGGUCCCCCACAUUGGUACUGGGACACGGACCAAACUCCUACGGGAGGCAGCAGUGAGGAAUAUUGGUCAAUGGGCGAGAGCCUGAACCAGCCAAGUAGCGUGAAGGAUGAAGGUCCUAUGGAUUGUAAACUUCUUUUAUAGUAGAAUAAAGUGACCUACGUGUAGGUUUUUGUAUGUAUACUAUGAAUAAGGAUCGGCUAACUCCGUGCCAGCCGCCGCAGUAACAC